rnacentral:rRNA from 1 species
AGAAGCGCAUACGGUGGAUGCCUUGGCAGUCAGAGGCGAUGAAAGACGUGGUAGCCUGCGAAAAGCUUCGGGGAGUCGGCAAACAGACUUUGAUCCGGAGAUGUCUGAAUGGGGGAACCCACCUAACAUAAGUUAGGUAUCUUAAGCUGAAUACAUAGGCUUAAGAAGCGAACCAGGGGAACUGAAACAUCUAAGUACCCUGAGGAAAAGAAAUCAACCGAGAUUCCCUUAGUAGUGGCGAGCGAACGGGGACUAGCCCUUAAGUGGCUUUGAGAUUAGCGGAACGCUCUGGAAAGUGCGGCCAUAGUGGGUGAUAGCCCUGUACGCGAAAAUCUCUUGGUCAUGAAAUCGAGUAGGACGGAGCACGAGAAACUUUGUCUGAAUAUGGGGGGACCAUCCUCCAAGGCUAAAUACUACUGACUGACCGAUAGUGAACUAGUACCGUGAGGGAAAGGCGAAAAGAACCCCGGAGAGGGGAGUGAAAUAGAUCCUGAAACCGUAUGCGUACAAGCAGUGGGAGCCCACUUUGUUGGGUGACUGCGUACCUUUUGUAUAAUGGGUCAGCGACUUAUUUUCAGUGGCGAGCUUAACCGAAUAGGGGAGGCGUAGCGAAAGCGAGUCUUAAUAGGGCGUCUAGUCGCUGGGAAUAGACCCGAAACCGGGCGAUCUAUCCAUGGGCAGGUUGAAGGUUGGGUAACACUAACUGGAGGACCGAACCGACUACCGUUGAAAAGUUAGCGGAUGACCUGUGGAUCGGAGUGAAAGGCUAAUCAAGCUCGGAGAUAGCUGGUUCUCCUCGAAAGCUAUUUAGGUAGCGCCUCAUGUAUCACUGUAGGGGGUAGAGCACUGUUUCGGCUAGGGGGUCAUCCCGACUUACCAAACCGAUGCAAACUCCGAAUACCUACAAGUGCCGAGCAUGGGAGACACACGGCGGGUGCUAACGUCCGUCGUGAAAAGGGAAACAACCCAGACCGUCAGCUAAGGUCCCAAAGUUAUGGUUAAGUGGGAAACGAUGUGGGAAGGCUUAGACAGCUAGGAGGUUGGCUUAGAAGCAGCCACCCUUUAAAGAAAGCGUAAUAGCUCACUAGUCGAGUCGGCCUGCGCGGAAGAUGUAACGGGGCUCAAACCAUACACCGAAGCUACGGGUAUCACUUAGGUGAUGCGGUAGAGGAGCGUUCUGUAAGCCUGUGAAGGUGAGUUGAGAAGCUUGCUGGAGGUAUCAGAAGUGCGAAUGCUGACAUGAGUAACGACAAUGGGUGUGAAAAACACCCACGCCGAAAGACCAAGGUUUCCUGCGCAACGUUAAUCGACGCAGGGUUAGUCGGUCCCUAAGGCGAGGCUGAAAAGCGUAGUCGAUGGAAAACAGGUUAAUAUUCCUGUACUUCUGGUUAUUGCGAUGGAGGGACGGAGAAGGCUAGGCCAGCUUGGCGUUGGUUGUCCAAGUUUAAGGUGGUAGGCUGGAAUCUUAGGUAAAUCCGGGAUUCNNNNNNNNNNACUUCUGGUUAUUGCGAUGGAGGGACGGAGAAGGCUAGGCCAGCUUGGCGUUGGUUGUCCAAGUUUAAGGUGGUAGGCUGAGAUCUUAGGUAAAUCCGGGAUCUUAAGGCCGAGAGCUGAUGACGAGUGUUCUUUUAGAACACGAAGUGGUUGAUGCCAUGCUUCCAAGAAAAGCUUCUAAGCUUCAGGUAACCAGGAACCGUACCCCAAACCGACACAGGUGGUUGGGUAGAGAAUACCAAGGCGCUUGAGAGAACUCGGGUGAAGGAACUAGGCAAAAUGGCACCGUAACUUCGGGAGAAGGUGCGCCGGUGAGGGUGAAGGACUUGCUCCGUAAGCUCAUGCCGGUCGAAGAUACCAGGCCGCUGCGACUGUUUAUUAAAAACACAGCACUCUGCAAACACGAAAGUGGACGUAUAGGGUGUGACGCCUGCCCGGUGCCGGAAGGUUAAUUGAUGGGGUUAGCUAACGCGAAGCUCUUGAUCGAAGCCCCGGUAAACGGCGGCCGUAACUAUAACGGUCCUAAGGUAGCGAAAUUCCUUGUCGGGUAAGUUCCGACCUGCACGAAUGGCGUAACGAUGGCGGCGCUGUCUCCACCCGAGACUCAGUGAAAUUGAAAUCGCUGUGAAGAUGCAGUGUAUCCGCGGCUAGACGGAAAGACCCCGUGAACCUUUACUAUAGCUUUGCACUGGACUUUGAAUUUGCUUGUGUAGGAUAGGUGGGAGGCUUUGAAGCGUGGACGCCAGUUCGCGUGGAGCCAACCUUGAAAUACCACCCUGGCAACUUUGAGGUUCUAACUCAGGUCCGUUAUCCGGAUCGAGGACAGUGUAUGGUGGGUAGUUUGACUGGGGCGGUCUCCUCCUAAAGAGUAACGGAGGAGUACGAAGGUGCGCUCAGACCGGUCGGAAAUCGGUCGUAGAGUAUAAAGGCAAAAGCGCGCUUGACUGCGAGACAGACACGUCGAGCAGGUACGAAAGUAGGUCUUAGUGAUCCGGUGGUUCUGUAUGGAAGGGCCAUCGCUCAACGGAUAAAAGGUACUCCGGGGAUAACAGGCUGAUACCGCCCAAGAGUUCAUAUCGACGGCGGUGUUUGGCACCUCGAUGUCGGCUCAUCACAUCCUGGGGCUGAAGCCGGUCCCAAGGGUAUGGCUGUUCGCCAUUUAAAGUGGUACGCGAGCUGGGUUUAGAACGUCGUGAGACAGUUCGGUCCCUAUCUGCCGUGGACGUUUGAGAUUUGAGAGGGGCUGCUCCUAGUACGAGAGGACCGGAGUGGACGAACCUCUGGUGUUCCGGUUGUCACGCCAGUGGCAUUGCCGGGUAGCUAUGUUCGGAAUAGAUAACCGCUGAAAGCAUCUAAGCGGGAAACUAGCCUCAAGAUGAGAUCUCACUGGGACCUUGAGUCCCCUGAAGGGCCGUCGAAGACUACGACGUUGAUAGGUUGGGUGUGUAAGCGCUGUGAGGCGUUGAGCUAACCAAUACUAAUUGCCCGUGAGGCUUGACC